rnacentral:rRNA from 1 species
GGGGCCCGCACAAGCGGUGGAGCAUGUGGUUUAAUUCGACGCUACGCGAAGAACCUUACCUGGGCUUGAACUGCUGGUGGUAGAAGCCCGAAAGGGUAACGACCCGGAGCAAUCCGGGAGCCAGUAGAGGUGCUGCAUGGCUGUCGUCAGCUCGUGUCGUGAGAUGUUGGGUUAAGUCCCGCAACGAGCGCAACCCUUACCCUUAGUUGCCAGCGGGUAAUGCCGGGCACUCUAAGGGGACCGCCCCGGAUAACGGGGAGGAAGGCGGGAUGACGUCAAGUCAGCAUGGCCCUUAUGUCCAGGGCUACACACGUGCUACAAUGGGCGAUACAGAGGGAAGCAAGGCCGCAAGGUAGAGCUAAUCCCUAAAGUCGUCCUCAGUUCGGAUUGCAGGCUGCAACUCGCCUGCAUGAAGUCGGAAUCGCUAGUAAUCGCGGAUCAGCUACGCCGCGGUGAAUACGUUCUCGGGCCUU